rnacentral:lncRNA from 1 species
UUUAUAAAACUCGAAUAUCCUCGUGUUUUAUGCAUUUUGAUGGCGUUACGGAGCAACUUUGCAAAGUUACACGCCAAAGGCUUAAGAAAUUUCUUGAGUGUAGGUCAAAAUGGGCCAAACUUAAAUGUCAACAAGCUGAUAUAGCUAAGAAAUCGGUACGAGAACAUCGAUGACGGAUCUGUCAAUUCAUACAUGGAGAAGAACCCUGACACCAUUAACUUAGAAUGGAACCAUCAUAUGAAAUGCUGGAAGAGAUUUUGUGAUGAAGAGAAGAUCUGUAGAUAACAGAGAAAAGAAGAAAAAGGAGAAGGAACUAGCUGUAAAACUGUAACUUCUACCGAAGAAUCACACGUGGAAGUGGAGGACAAUAGAACCAAGGCGAAAAAUUACACGUCAAUCAGUCGCAGAAGCUAUAAAUAUAAAGGCCCUGCCUAAAAGAAACGCGCAUGUACUCCCAGAGAUAUGUAUUAUUUGUGGAAGAGACGCCUCGUGGUUCUCACUAGACAAGGUAUGGUCAUUUUGAUAGGUAUAAUACUAGC